GGCGCUAAGAAAAGGUGCGCCGGAUGAAGAAGUAUGGAGGCCAUGAAAAACAAACAGCUGAAGGCUCCUUAUCUAUUAUCUAAUGACAGACAUCCUAAACAACUCAUAGCUGAGUUCCUUUCGCAUAGGUAUAUAAAUAAGCACAGCAAGACAAAUUCAUUUUUACUAUAUUUGAUUAAAAACUUGCUAUAUCAUCUAAAUGGCCAUAUCUUGUUAGUUAAUGUUCUGAUUAUACAAUAUGCUGGUUUUACAGUGUUACUAGGAGAUGACUACUAACUACUAGGGCGGUGGCUGUUUGGAGAAAUUGCUUUCAUUCAUAUAGCCCUAUUGUACUAGUGGAGGUUUCUUAUCUAAAAUGUUAGCUAUGAGGGGUAGCAGUAAGCCAGUAAUCCAUCUGUACCGACGUAUAAAUUUCCCCUGCUUGUUUCAAGCUGUUCUGAACUAAGAGUUUAGAACGUAAGGUCUGUGAUGUUAGACAUGUUUGUCCCAGUAGAUUGAUUUUGAAAUGCUAUUUGUCCAUUUGUUUCUCUUGGUUCAUUAAUAAUGCCACUUUUCACUUUGUUGCUAUUAUCUACUUAUCAUAGUGUUCUAUAUCUUAUGGGCUCUAAUUUCAUUGAUGCUAUUUGUCUGGUUUCUUAUCUAUACUGCUUGAGUUUUGAGUAAACUGCCGGAUGGCCCAAAGUGAAAACCAUUUCUGUACCCUAUUACUAAAUACUUAAAAACAUAAAUGGUACCUCUUGACGUACAUUUGAUCAUGUAUCAAUACUUCAAUGUUGGAAGAAAUUAUUUUUAACUUCAUUUUCUUUGCUUCUAUCAUCUUACAUAUUAUCAGCUCCAGCUGAAAUCAUUCAAGUCAAAAUGUCUGUAAGCUUGAUCAGUGUCAUCUACAUUAUGGGUGUUCAGAUCAAGUUUCUUCCCUGAACACGAAUUCUCAAAAUCUAUUAGCUUGCUUUCUCUGGGGUAUUCAGCGACCUGUCUUGCACACUUUUGCUCUUCUAGAUAUAGCUUCUCCGCAUCUACUUUGCUUCCUGAUGCCGAACUGGUGGUGCUACCUCCACCAUUUUGGGGUGCAGUAUACUCAUGCACUAUCUCUGUGUCACUUUCAUACCCAAACUCUGCUUUACUGUAUUGUUCAUCAUUCUGCAAAUGUGCCAUCCUACGCUCACUUAGGCUUCUGUUAAGGGCAAACUGGGUCUCAUGUUCAUGCGGUCUUUUUCUGCAAAAUAAUGAACUACCAUCAUGUGCUUUUAGUACUCCAUGGUGCUGUUGGUGCUGUAGUCUCUGCUCCUUGAUGAAUCCUUCGGCCACAGACAAAUAACUAUUUGUUGAACUUUCAACAAACUGGAUUUGUCUGGGCUCUAACCUAUGCACACUUGAACUUCCUUUUACAUCUGUAAUUGCAUUACUGAAGCAUUCAGUUGAUACUUGUGAAACUAACUGUGAUAUUUUUAUUUUUGCAUCUUCCAGGUUCGCAGGACCCAAAUUCUGUUUUCCAAGUGUUUCUUGUGCCUGCUCCAAAACUGCUUGUAGGUAUUUCCCUUGUGCUUCAAUUCGUAGUUGUAGAUGCCUUUGCACCUGUUUCCAAUUUGAAUUUCAGAUCAGAAUCACUGCAGCAGCAGCACAACUCCAUUUUAUAGACACUAUAAGCGGGACUUUGCUGGACCAUUAAAAUCAGUAGCAAACGUUGGACUCCAAUAUUGGGUGUGUGAAUCCAUAGAAAAUAAUUUAGGAUGCUGCCACUCACAAUCAUGACCCUGAACCUGCACUUCUAUAAUCUGCCUAAUGAUCAGACAGAAGAGGCUGAGGUGGUUGACACUGUGUGAUCAAAGGGAACCCUAUUUGUAGAAGACGAGCAGGAGAAAGAAGUCUAGAGGCGAGAGAAACCAGACUAGAAUGGUUUGCUAUUCAAGCAUGCAGCUUCCAGAUCACUAAUUGAUUCCAUGGUCAUCAUCUGUGUUGGACAGAGUGCACAGGUGCACUUGGGCCAACAAGGUGCAGCAAGCUUCCACAGCACGGGAGGUGCGGAGAGGACAGCUUGCAGAAUGAGAAAGAACACACUCCACCCGUUCCAAAUCAUAGUUCACUUCGGCUCUAUCCUAAGCCAAACUUACUUUCACUGAGUUUUUAGAAAAAAAAUUAACAUCUACAAGUUCAAAUAGAUAUACUAUAUGUUAGAAUACAAGUGAACUGUUCAACUCUCUCUAUCAGCUUAUUUUUUUGGGUUGAAUUAAUUAGUGCAUGCAACUUAAUAUGGCAUCAAAUGCAUAAGUCUCGAGUUCAAAUCCUGAUUAGUGCAAUGAAAUACAAAAAUUAUUGCUCCGCUCAUGUUUUACGUUUGAGGCCUGAGAGAGUUUCUACGUGAGGGGGAGUGUUAGAAUACAAGUGAAUUGUCCAACUAUUUCUAUCAACUUAGGAUUUUGGAUUGAAUUAGUUGUUGCAUGUAACUUAAUACUAUCUAGAUAUAUUUCAUGGAGCUUUUGAUGAAACUAAUUUGAUAUUGUAGAUGUUGAUGUAGUUUUCUAUAAACUUGGACAAAGUUAGAGAAAUUAGACCAGGACAAAGCUAAAGUGAACUACAAUUUGGAAAUGACUGGCGCGAUCCUAGCCUAGUUCUUGCGAUGUGGUCUGUGUGUUCGUUCCUGUACUUGGAUUUGGGUCCUUCUGGACUCGUGUACUAUUUUUUUUUACCUUAACAAAAUGACGCACAACUCUCAUGUGUAGUUCGAGAAAAAAUAUAAUUUGGAAUGAGGGACCAUAUAUAGGUUGAAUGCCAUCUGUUAAAGAUUGCAGACUUGCAUUAAUGGAAAUUUUCAUCAAAGGUUUAGAAGUUCAAUAAUAGAAUUGGUGUUUGAGAGAUCUAUUUUCAUGUUUGAUUUUUAAUAAACUAUUUGUUUUAUUGUCCAAAAAACAGAUUAUUUGUUUCUUCACCCUUUAACUAAUGGCUAUGUGCAUCUCUUGACUCAGCUUAAACAAUCUUAUUCAUUAAUCUAAAAGGGUAAUUAGCUUGCACUCCUGCUGUUCCAAUUUGUAAGUCAUUUAGGACUGCUAGCCAGAAUGCUUGAGAUAGCCCAUUGUUCGACCUACCUUAUCUACCACGUGAAAAUUUGGAACAAGAGUAUUGUCUUAGUGGUGUCAGUGACUUACCUCAAGUUGUUCAUUUAACUGUCUCUGAACCUCAAUUUGCAUCUGAAGUGCUUCACCAAUUUGAAUAGUCCUUGCAUGCAGGAAAAUAUAUUAUAAUUUCGGUAUUGAGAUUAUAUAUAAUUACGGAGUGUUAACAGAGUCCUUACUUCUCUGCCUGCGGAACGACAUUUGUACUGCUCAUUGUUGCAGCGCUUGUUCCAGGAAUCCUAUCAGCAAUGGAUGUACAUCCUAUGGCUGCAAAGUGGUUACAAGUUGUUGACUCAUGCUGUUCCAUUAUAAUAGUAAAUACGGGAGUUACAACUUGUUCUUACCAUUCUUUGAUGUACUGACAUUUGCUUGAGCUUGGAGGUUCUUGCUCAGCCUGUAUUUCUGUAGAAUCCAAGAAAUGAUGAUUAGUCAUUACAAAUAUCAUUUUUAGCAGGCUGAUUCUGAUUCUAAUGUACCUGGAGAUGGCUUUUCAAAUGGUACAAGGUGAGUCCUGGGAUUCCCAUGAGCCUCAUGACUGUUUUUGGAGUAGCUUCUGGGUGAUGAAUAGAAAUAUAAGAAUUCAGCUGGCCUCUGUACUUUGAGAAGAUAUAAGAAUAUUAUACUUACUCUCUGCUCCACCUAACUGAUUGACUGCAUCUACAAAUCGCUGAUGUAACUCAGGUGUCCAUUUGAGCCUUGGUUUAGCAUCAGUUGAGAGAACCAGCCCAGAAUCUCCUUGGGCAUUUCCUCCACGCAAAAACAGAUGCUGCUCCAUUGGAAAGGAUGUCCUCGUGGUGAAGAGCUCACUCAGGCCCUGAUGUUGGUGAUACAUCUGCUGUAGAAAUGAAAUGUAAUUUCUAAGCAGUUAGGUCAAUGAGACGCGCCGGGGGGCAGGGUGUCUGAAUUUUCCUAACCUUUCUGGCCUGUGUUUUCCACUCUUUUCUCUGUUCCCAAAGGCUGAACUUGUGUUGGAGUGUUUCCUGUUGACAAACUCAAACGCCCUCUUGCCCAACCUUAAGCCUUUUGAUACCCUUGUGGCCUUCUCAGGUUGAUAAGGAGUGCCUUAUGAGGUGCCUUUUAUAUGGGAAAACAUAGAAUCUAGAGUCUUGGAACAAACAUCAAAAGAACAACCUUUAAGCCUACUAAAGAGAAGAUGCUAGCUUUAGUAAUUUUGGAAUCAGAAAUUUUCAUUUUGAAUUUCAACCUGUGACUUCUAUGUAUGGUACUACCUUACUUUUCUAGUUGUAUUUUACUGGUUUAAAACAGUUGAAUUCUGUGUGGUAUGUGUAGAGAUAAACACGAACACCUAUAGUAAAGCAAAUUAUACUUUUACGUAGCUUUCUGGAAUAUGAUUCUGCUAUAUCUGUUGAGUUUAUGAAAGAUGCACUUCUGAAUUUAUGCCUCAUGAAUGACCAGAGAAAAAUAUUUGAGUAGCUUCUCUAUACUGCCAGCUCGGGGUAGUUUUGCUGGUAUUUACAAAUGGUUCAGUCUUGCUGCAGUUUGGUACAUGAUUUGAUUAUUAUUGUUCAUAGUGGAAUCAGAUGCAGUUUGGGUUAUGUUGACACUUGUCGUUAUACUUUUUGAGGACGCUAUUCUACUUACAGAAACAUAGUUUUUUCUAUCAAUUUUAUUCUGUCCGUUGUGUUACUUUGAAGAGCGUGGAAUAUGAACAAGAAUAAGUUCCAUCAGCGUCCUUUCCUAAGAUUGGUACAUAUUCACAUUGCAGUCCAGGGAAGUUUCGGCCAUAAGAUUUAUGCUCUUUACGUGGGAUAAGCUCCUUUUGAACAAGA
rnacentral:lncRNA from 1 species